UAAAAGUUUUAAACAAUGUUUAAAAAUAUUAAGGCAGAUAAUAACGUCAACACAGCUUAUCUGGGAAGCAGAUGCUGAGAGAAAGUUAAGAGGGGAAGUUUCUUAGGGUUCAAUGCCUAAAAAAGAUAAAAGGCGAAAGAAGAAAAUGAAGCAGAGACAGACUUCAACUGUGAUGCAGAGCUGACACCUGUGAAAGGAAAGAUGGAGAGGUAUAAGAAGAAGAAUUGAGUAGAGAGGGACUCAGACUACGAUGUAAAUCAGAGUUUUUAGCCAUGCAUCGGAAUCACCUCAGGACUCCACUCCCAAUCAAUUAUAUAUCUGGGGGAGGACCAAGGCGUUGGUAUUUUUCAGAAGCUCCACUGGUGAUUCUGACAGCACAGCUAGGAUUAAGAAACUGAUCAAUGGGAACGGCAUGCCUGUUGCAGAGGAGCUUCCCUGGGAAAUGUCACACACAGAACAUCAAU
rnacentral:lncRNA from 1 species